CCCUACUGCUAUCGGGGUGGGACUAAGACAUGCAAGUUGAGCGUCUCUAAGCUAUGGUAGAGACGCGGCAUACGGCUCAGUAACACGUGGCCAACCUACCCUUAGGACAGGGACAACCCCGGGAAACUGGGACUAAUAUCCGAUAGAUUAAGAGGCCUGGAAUGGUUCUUAGUCAAAAGGGCUUUGAAACCAUGCUUUUCAACGUCGCCUAAGGAUGGGGCCGCGCCCGAUCAGGCUGUUGGUGGGGUAAUGGCUCACCAAACCUAUAACCGGUGCGGGCCGUGAGAGCGGGAGCCCGGAGAUGGGCACUGAGACAAGGGCCCAGGCCCUACGGGGCGCAGCAGUCGCGAAAACUCCGCAAUGCGCGAAAGCGUGACGGGGCUACCCCGAGUGCCGUCCGCUGAGGAUGGCUUUUACCCGGUGUAAUGAGCCGGGGGAAUAAGGAGAGGGCAAGUCUGGUGUCAGCCGCCGCGGUAAUACCAGCUCUCCGAGUGGUAGGGACGAUUAUUGGGCUUAAAGCGUCCGUAGCCGGCUUAGCAAGUCUCCUGUUAAAUUCAGCGACCUAAUCGUUGAGCCGCGGGAGAUACUACUAGGCUAGGAGGCGGAAGAGGCCGACGGUAUUCUCGGGGUAGGGGUGAAAUCCUAUAAUCCCGGGAGGACCACCAGUGGCGAAGGCUGUCGGCUAGAACGCGCUCGACGGUGAGGGACGAAAGCUGGGGGAGCGAACCGGAUUAGAUACCCGGGUAGUCCCAGCCGUAAACGAUGCGGGCUAGGUGUUGGGGUGGCCACGAGCCACUUCAGUGCCGCAGGGAAGCCAUUAAGCCCGCCGCCUGGGGAGUACGGCCGCAAGGCUGAAACUUAAAGGAAUUGGCGGGGGAGCACCACAAGGCGUGAAGCUUGCGGUUC
rnacentral:rRNA from 1 species